GCCCUCAUAGCUCAGUGGAUAGAGCGCACGGUUCCGGUCCGUGAAGUCGGAGGUUCGAUUCCUCUUGAGGGUACCA
rnacentral:tRNA from 1 species